rnacentral:sRNA from 1 species
CCCACGGCUCACGCCGUGGGCUUUAUUCUUCCGCCGCUCCGCGGCU